ACAUGCCUGGUUGAAAUCGUGGCGGACGUGUGGCGGAAUUUCGCACUUUUGUCAGCUCUGCUUUAUUUCCAACCAGACGUCCUUUGCAUGGAGGAAAAACGAACAUAUGGAGGCCCCCAAAUGUGGGGUGAAUGGAUCAGGUGGAAGAUGGCAGCGUGGGUGGUGAAAGAAUUCACCAUAGGCAGAGCAAAGGAGAUAGAAGUUUACUGAAUAAACUGCAAGGGAACGACAGCCACAUCAGAUGGCCUCGCUGUGCUUGGAGAAACAAAUGAACAACCAGAAGGUCAACAAAAACAGCUCUUCCAUGCACCUGACAUUAUGACCCAUGAACUUCCCAAUGAGACAAGAACAACUUUAUCCUGAUGGUGACCGAGAGUGGCGCUGAUGCCACGUUUGGGGCCAAUCGCUCAUGUAUGAGAGAAUGACCAAAAGGGGGAACUCUUAAAUUCUCAACAAAAUUCUCCUCUUAGAAGGAGGCCAUGAGACUGAGGUGGUUCUAAUACCCCGGGAGUUUGGGUAAGCAAACCCAAGCCAAAGCCUGUAAACGCCUCAAGGAUAAGAGAUCAAAACCUAAGGACAACCAACCAGUUGAGCUUUUCCAUGUCCAGCACACUGAAGCUACAAUCAAUCAAAUAAUUUCCUUGCUUGGCUUCCACAUCUUUUCUAUAAAAGUCUCUCCCCUAGCUCCUGUUGGGGGAGCACUUCUGGCCAGUUCUGACUGGGCACUGCCUGAUGUGAAUUGAUUUUUACUCAAAUAAACGCUUAAUAUUUCUAAUAUGUCUCUGUCUUU